rnacentral:lncRNA from 1 species
CCCAGGAAUUUUUCUGAGGUUACUCCAAAAGCGCACUUGGCUGGGUUCAGCUUCAUCUUGUACUUUCAGAAGGCACUGAAGGUCUCCUCAAGAUCGGCGACGUGGUUCAUCAAGGAUUUACUUUUUUGAGCAUAUCGUCCACGUAGACCUCCAUGUUGCGGCCGAUCUGCUCUUUAAAGAUCUUGUUUACCAGCCGUUGAUAGG